rnacentral:tRNA from 1 species
GCCUGGGUGGCUCACUCUGUUGAGCGUCUGACUUUGGCUUAGGUCAUGAUUUCUCUGUUUGUGGGUUCGAGCCCCACCUUGGGCU